AGCGUACACGGUGGAUGCCCUGGCAGUCAGAGGCGAUGAAGGACGUGCUAAUCUGCGAUAAGCGUCGGUAAGGUGAUAUGAACCGUUAUAACCGGCGAUUUCCGAAUGGGGAAACCCAGUGUGAUUCGUCACACUAUCAUUAACUGAAUCCAUAGGUUAAUGAGGCGAACCGGGGGAACUGAAACAUCUAAGUACCCCGAGGAAAAGAAAUCAACCGAGAUUCCCCCAGUAGCGGCGAGCGAACGGGGAGGAGCCCAGAGCCUGAAUCAGUGUGUGUGUUAGUGGAAGCGUCUGGAAAGGCGCGCGAUACAGGGUGACAGCCCCGUACACAAAAAUGCACAUAUUGUGAGCUCGAUGAGUAGGGCGGGACACGUGGUAUCCUGUCUGAAUAUGGGGGGACCAUCCUCCAAGGCUAAAUACUCCUGACUGACCGAUAGUGAACCAGUACCGUGAGGGAAAGGCGAAAAGAACCCCGGCGAGGGGAGUGAAAAAGAACCUGAAACCGUGUACGUACAAGCAGUGGGAGCCUCUUUAUGGGGUGACUGCGUACCUUUUGUAUAAUGGGUCAGCGACUUAUAUUCUGUAGCAAGGUUAACCGAAUAGGGGAGCCGAAGGGAAACCGAGUCUUAACUGGGCGUUAAGUUGCAGGGUAUAGACCCGAAACCCGGUGAUCUAGCCAUGGGCAGGUUGAAGGUUGGGUAACACUAACUGGAGGACCGAACCGACUAAUGUUGAAAAAUUAGCGGAUGACUUGUGGCUGGGGGUGAAAGGCCAAUCAAACCGGGAGAUAGCUGGUUCUCCCCGAAAGCUAUUUAGGUAGCGCCUCGUGAAUUCAUCUCCGGGGGUAGAGCACUGUUUCGGCAAGGGGGUCAUCCCGACUUACCAACCCGAUGCAAACUGCGAAUACCGGAGAAUGUUAUCACGGGAGACACACGGCGGGUGCUAACGUCCGUCGUGAAGAGGGAAACAACCCAGACCGCCAGCUAAGGUCCCAAAGUCAUGGUUAAGUGGGAAACGAUGUGGGAAGGCCCAGACAGCCAGGAUGUUGGCUUAGAAGCAGCCAUCAUUUAAAGAAAGCGUAAUAGCUCACUGGUCGAGUCGGCCUGCGCGGAAGAUGUAACGGGGCUAAACCAUGCACCGAAGCUGCGGCAGCGACGCUUAUGCGUUGUUGGGUAGGGGAGCGUUCUGUAAGCCUGCGAAGGUGUGCUGUGAGGCAUGCUGGAGGUAUCAGAAGUGCGAAUGCUGACAUAAGUAACGAUAAAGCGGGUGAAAAGCCCGCUCGCCGGAAGACCAAGGGUUCCUGUCCAACGUUAAUCGGGGCAGGGUGAGUCGACCCCUAAGGCGAGGCCGAAAGGCGUAGUCGAUGGGAAACAGGUUAAUAUUCCUGUACUUGGUGUUACUGCGAAGGGGGGACGGAGAAGGCUAUGUUGGCCGGGCGACGGUUGUCCCGGUUUAAGCGUGUAGGCUGGUUUUCCAGGCAAAUCCGGAAAAUCAAGGCUGAGGCGUGAUGACGAGGCACUACGGUGCUGAAGCAACAAAUGCCCUGCUUCCAGGAAAAGCCUCUAAGCAUCAGGUAACAUCAAAUCGUACCCCAAACCGACACAGGUGGUCAGGUAGAGAAUACCAAGGCGCUUGAGAGAACUCGGGUGAAGGAACUAGGCAAAAUGGUGCCGUAACUUCGGGAGAAGGCACGCUGAUAUGUAGGUGAAGCGACUUGCUCGUGGAGCUGAAAUCAGUCGAAGAUACCAGCUGGCUGCAACUGUUUAUUAAAAACACAGCACUGUGCAAACACGAAAGUGGACGUAUACGGUGUGACGCCUGCCCGGUGCCGGAAGGUUAAUUGAUGGGGUUAGCGCAAGCGAAGCUCUUGAUCGAAGCCCCGGUAAACGGCGGCCGUAACUAUAACGGUCCUAAGGUAGCGAAAUUCCUUGUCGGGUAAGUUCCGACCUGCACGAAUGGCGUAAUGAUGGCCAGGCUGUCUCCACCCGAGACUCAGUGAAAUUGAACUCGCUGUGAAGAUGCAGUGUACCCGCGGCAAGACGGAAAGACCCCGUGAACCUUUACUAUAGCUUGACACUGAACAUUGAGCCUUGAUGUGUAGGAUAGGUGGGAGGCUUUGAAGUGUGGACGCCAGUCUGCAUGGAGCCGGCCUUGAAAUACCACCCUUUAAUGUUUGAUGUUCUAACGUUGGCCCGUAAUCCGGGUUGCGGACAGUGUCUGGUGGGUAGUUUGACUGGGGCGGUCUCCUCCUAAAGAGUAACGGAGGAGCACGAAGGUUGGCUAAUCCUGGUCGGACAUCAGGAGGUUAGUGCAAUGGCAUAAGCCAGCUUGACUGCGAGCGUGACGGCGCGAGCAGGUGCGAAAGCAGGUCAUAGUGAUCCGGUGGUUCUGAAUGGAAGGGCCAUCGCUCAACGGAUAAAAGGUACUCCGGGGAUAACAGGCUGAUACCGCCCAAGAGUUCAUAUCGACGGCGGUGUUUGGCACCUCGAUGUCGGCUCAUCACAUCCUGGGGCUGAAGUAGGUCCCAAGGGUAUGGCUGUUCGCCAUUUAAAGUGGUACGCGAGCUGGGUUUAGAACGUCGUGAGACAGUUCGGUCCCUAUCUGCCGUGGGCGCUGGAGAACUGAGGGGGGCUGCUCCUAGUACGAGAGGACCGGAGUGGACGCAUCACUGGUGUUCGGGUUGUCAUGCCAAUGGCACUGCCCGGUAGCUAAAUGCGGAAGAGAUAAGUGCUGAAAGCAUCUAAGCACGAAACUUGCCCCGAGAUGAGUUCU
rnacentral:rRNA from 1 species